AUUGAACGCUGUCGGCAUGCCUUACACAUGCAAGUCGAACGGUAGCACGGGAGCAAUCCUGGUGGUGAGUGGCGAACGGGUGAGUAAUGUAUCGGAACGUGCCCAGUCGUGGGGGAUAACGUAGCGAAAGCUACGCUAAUACCGCAUACGAUCUCUGGAUGAAAGCGGGGGACCGCAAGGCCUCGCGCGAUUGGAGCGGCCGAUAUCAGAGUAGGUAGUUGGUGGGGUAAAGGCCCACCAAGCCAACGAUCUGUAGCUGGUCUGAGAGGACGACCAGCCACACUGGGACUGAGACACGGCCCAGACUCCUACGGGAGGCAGCAGUGGGGAAUUUUGGACAAUGGGGGCAACCCUGAUCCAGCAAUGCCGCGUGCAGGAAGAAGGCCUUCGGGUUGUAAACUGCUUUUGUACGGAACGAAAAGGCUCUGGUUAAUACCUGGGGCUCAUGACGGUACCGUAAGAAUAAGCACCGGCUAACUACGUGCCAGCCGCCGCCGUAA
rnacentral:rRNA from 1 species